rnacentral:rRNA from 1 species
GAUGAACGCUGGCGGCGUGCCUAAUACAUGCAAGUCGAGCGAACAGACGAGGAGCUUGCUUCUCUGACGUUAGCGGCGGACGGGUGAGUAACACGUGGAUAACCUACCUAUAAGACUGGGAUAACUUCGGGAAACCGGAGCUAAUACCGGAUAAUAUAUUGAACCGCAUGGUUCAAUAGUGAAAGACGGUUUUGCUGUCACUUAUAGAUGGAUCCGCGCCGCAUUAGCUAGUUGGUAAGGUAACGGCUUACCAAGGCAACGAUGCGUAGCCGACCUGAGAGGGUGAUCGGCCACACUGGAACUGAGACACGGUCCAGACUCCUACGGGAGGCAGCAGUAGGGAAUCUUCCGCAUUGGGCGAAAGCCUGACGGAGCAACGCCGCGUGAGUGAUGAAGGUCUUCGGAUCGUAAAACUCUGUUAUUAGGGAAGAACAAAUGUGUAAGUAACUAUGCACGUCUUGACGGUACCUAAUCAGAAAGCCACGGCUAACUACGUG